CAGUAGCCACGGGAAUACAGAGGGUGCGAGCGUUAAUCGGAUUUACUGGGCGUAAAGCGUGCGUAGGCGGCUUCUUAAGUCGGAUGUGAAAUCCCUGAGCUUAACUUAGGAAUUGCAUUCGAUACUGGGAAGCUAGAGUAUGGGAGAGGAUGGUAGAAUUCCAGGUGUAGCGGUGAAAUGCGUAGAGAUCUGGAGGAAUACCGAUGGCGAAGGCAGCCAUCUGGCCUAAUACUGACGCUGAGGUACGAAAGCAUGGGGAGCAAACAGGAUUAGAGACCCCGGUAGUCCCUGUCUCUUAUAC
rnacentral:rRNA from 1 species